rnacentral:hammerhead_ribozyme from 1 species
AUCCAACAAACGAGUCCCAAAUAGGAUGAAACGACGUCCUGGAU